rnacentral:siRNA from 1 species
AAAAUUGUGCCACGUAGAUAACAG